rnacentral:snRNA from 1 species
UAAUGUGAGGGCAAUCGGGCUGAGACAUCUGUCACCUUAUUGAUUGUGAGGGUUUAUUUGGCUGAUCUAGCUUGCUAGGCAAGCGUCCCCUUCCUCCUUCAUUCCUCCAUGUGUUCCCCUCUGGUAGCUGCCUGCCCUGGCUGAAGAGGAUGACCUUCCCCAAGAUAGUGACAGACCAGUCCAGCCUAUAUAGGUAGCUGCACUCCCCUGAUAGGUCUUCCAAACAAGCUCCCAAGAAACAAAAUAAAUAAAAACGAUUUAUUAUUUCUCAUGUUUCCUGUAGCUAAGUAAACUGAUAGGGCACUAUGAAUUCGACUUUCUUCUGUU